CAGCGCAUUGGUUGCUGUAAGCCAAGGGCGGUAGCAUA
rnacentral:ncRNA from 1 species